GUAGGUUUUUACCUGAACGAAACCACAAAAAUGAAAAGAACAAAAGAAAGAGGAGAGAGAGAGGGAGGGAGAGAUCGUAGCAAGAAAAGGGUAGGAAGAUGAAAAAAAUGUAAAAAUCGAAGAUCUGAUCUUCAAUCGAUCUCGACAUCGCCAGGGAUUUUCUUCAUCAUUGGUCAUGGUGUUUCCUGUUUAUUCUUCCCAGGUACCUACACAGUUCAAGCUCACUGGGCCAAUUCCACCUGAAUUGGGGAACAUGUCCAAGCUAAGCUAUCUGUCUGGAUAUUACUAAGGGAGAGGAUGCAGUUCAACAUGAACCAGAAAAAAUGGCGAAAUCUGUACCAUCUGAUCUAAUCUUUGAUAUUCUGACACGGGUCCCAUUCAUAUUUUUAUUUAGUUGCGGAUGCGUAAGCAAGUCCUGGCAAAGCAUCGCUCACAUGCCAUAUUUCAUACGCCAACAUUGCAAAAGAACCAUGACCAUCUCUGGAUUUUUCAUCCAAAGCAUGGUGCGCAACCGUUACAGAUCCACAUUCAUCUCUUUCUACAACUCACCUGAGAUUCCACCACCAUCUCUCUCUACCUCCUUUCAUAGAGGCUAGCAUACUUGCUUGCUGCAUUACACUUUGGGGACCACAUGAUGGAGGUUUUGGAAUGAAGCAAUAUCUUGGUGAACUAAUGCCAGUAAUUGUUGAAGCCCUCUUGGAUGGAGCUGCUGUUAUAAAGUGUGAAGUGGCUGUCUCAACUCUUGGUCAAGUUGUACAGAGCACUGGGUAUGCUAUGUCCUCUAAUUUGCUGUUCUCAAUUUAAUAUUACAUCACCUGACAUUGCAUGGUCAUUGACCAGUCUUAGCUAUGAUUGGUAAUAGCUUGCCCCAUAUGGCAUGCUUUCUAAGAGUCUCGAUGACCAGUUCUCAGGACACAUCUUCUUUCUUCUUUCAGUCACCAAUACAAUUCCAAAUUUUUCUUAAGUUCCAUUUGAUUGACAUUAAAUAAAUAAAAUGAUAUGCUUUCGAUAAGAGGAACAAAAGAAAAGAUUUUCAAUUCCCAAAAAAUGAUCUCCAAGGGGCUUCUACCUUUGUGAAUUUUAUUUUUCCUUGCAAGUAUUGGUCCAAACUGGUUCUCUCUAAUUUCUUUUAAUGAGAACUCCCCAUGAUUGUGUCUACAAAAGCUGAGCCCAGGUUAACUCUCUGCUGUUCUGCUUCUUGAUCCUUAUGUGAUUGCUCCAUACAAAGAGUACCCACAAUCGCUUGGUUUACUAUUGAAAUUGUUAAAGGAGCCGAUGGAUUGGGUUCAAACAGCUGGUGGAUUGCGACAGCCUUUGAUUUUACAACUAAAGGGGUUCUCCAAGCUGCAGUGCAAGGGGAAUUGUGGCGGAUGAAGGACAUGGAUGGGAGGCCGCCCGGAAUGAUUGGAUUGUGGCCAAAAAAGAGUGUCACAUUCAUCAACAAUCAUGAUACAGGAUCCACACAACAAUUAUGGUCAUUCCCUUCGGAUAAAGUCAUGCAAGGAUAUGCUUAUGUUCUCACCCAUCUAGGAAUC